rnacentral:rRNA from 1 species
AUUGAACGCUGGCGGCAGGCUUAACACAUGCAAGUCGAGCGGAGAUGAGGUGCUUGCACCUUAUCUUAGCGGCGGACGGGUGAGUAAUGCUUAGGAAUCUGCCUAUUAGUGGGGGACAACAUUCCGAAAGGAAUGCUAAUACCGCAUACGUCCUACGGGAGAAAGCAGGGGAUCUUCGGACCUUGCGCUAAUAGAUGAGCCUAAGUCGGAUUAGCUAGUUGGUGGGGUAAAGGCCUACCAAGGCGACGAUCUGUAGCGGGUCUGAGAGGAUGAUCCGCCACACUGGGACUGAGACACGGGCCAGACGCCUACGGGAGGCAGCAGUGGGGAAUAUUGGAGAAUGGGGGGAACCCUGAUCCAGCCAUGCCGCGUGUGUGAAGAAGGCCUUAUGGUUGUAAAGCACUUUAAGCGAGGAGGAGGCUCUUUUGGUUAAUACCCAAGAUGAGUGGACGUUACUCGCAGAAUAAGCACCGGCUAACUCUGUGCCAGCCGCCGCGGUAA